AUUGAACGCUGGCGGCAGGCCUAACACAUGCAAGUCGAGCGGAGCGGCGGACGGGGGAGUAAUGCCUAGGAAUCUGCCUGGUAGUGGGGGAUAACGUCGGGAAACGGGCGCUAAUACCGCAUACUAUCAGAUGAGCCUAGGGCGGAUUAGAUAGUUGGUGGGGUAAAGGCCUACCAAGGUGACGAUCGGUAGCUGGUCUGAGAGGAUGAUCGGUCACACUGGAACUGAGACACGGUCCAGACUCCUACGAGAGGCAGCAGUGGGGAAUCUUGGACAAUGGGCGAAAGCCUGAUCCAGCCAUGCCGCGUGAGUGAAGAAGGUCUUCGGAUUGUAAAGCACUGUAAGUUGGGAGGCGGUACCAAAAGAAUAAGCACCGGCUAACUACGUGCCAGCAGCCGCGGUAAUUC
rnacentral:rRNA from 1 species